AACGCGAAGAACCUUACCUGGGCUUGAACCGCCGGUGACCAGCGGUGGAAACAUCGCCUUCCCGCAAGGGACACCGGUAGAGGUGCUGCAUGGCUGUCGUCAGCUCGUGCCGUGAGGUGUUGGGUUAAGUCCCGCAACGAGCGCAACCCUUACUCAUAGUUGCUACCCGCAAGGGAGAACUCUAUGAGGACUGCUCCGGAUAACGGAGAGGAAGGUGGGGAUGAGGUCAAGUCAGCAUGGCCUUUAUGUCCAGGGCUACACACGUGUUACAAUGCGCACCACAAAGCGUCGCAAACCCGCGAGGGGGAGCUAAUCGCAAAAAAGUGCGCUCAGUUCGGAUUGCAGUCUGCAACUCGACUGCAUGAAGCUGGAAUCGCUAGUAAUGGCGCAUCAGAACGGCGCCGUGAAUACGUUCCCGGGCCUUGUACACACCGUACGUC
rnacentral:rRNA from 1 species